GUCCACCUCAGCAGUCCUACCAGUGCCCCAGGCCUCAACCCAAGCCAGUCUUAGGGAGGGGGCACCUUUAGCUGCCUCCAUCCCCCUUCAGGAAUCUGAAGAAUGUGUCCUUUAACCUCAGAGCCCCAGGCCUUGGCCAGUCCCCCCAAAACACUUGGGGUCACAUGACCCCUGUCCCUCAGGAACUUCCUGGGAGAAGGGGUGGGCACCUCCCAGCACCUCUAGCCCCCACUGAAAAACCAGCCUGGGUGGCCCUGAGAGGGCAGACCGAAAGCCUUGGCACCUCCUCCCCAACCAUCCCUCUGAAGGAGAGCUGGGGGAGGGGACGGCUCCUCGGCUUUGGCCUCCAGGACCUGGCACUGGAUAGGUGCCAAAUGUUUGCUGGCUACAUGAGGCACUUGUUCCUGCAGAAGGGAAACUGCACCUGACAAUGACUGCUUCCUCCACCUAAGUGGGGCCUUCUUCCCUCUCUCAUUCAUUCAUUCAACAAAUACGCACUAAGCUCACAUAUGUGCCAAACACUGUGGCAGGCACUCGCGCAUGCAGGGAGCAAGACUUAUACAACUGCUGCCCUCUUGAAGCUCUGAAUUGAGCAGGGAGGACAAAUAGAGUGGGGUGCCGGGAUGGAGGGUCUGAAGGGUGGGGCAGGGUACGGCUGGGGUGAAGGUAGGUCUCUCCGAGCAAGGAAUGUAGGCAGAGUUCCAGAUAGGGGCUCCGCAUGGGUAAGGAACAGGAGGGACCAGCACAGUGUGAUCGGAGGAGGGGCAGCCCGCGAGGCUGAGCCUGGGCUCCAGGGCAGGCUUUACCUCGAGGGCACGGCAAGCCACAGAAGGCUUAAGUAGGGAGUGACAAUGCCAGAUUUGCAUUUUAAAAACGUGGCUCAGCACCGGGAGUGGAGGGGGUGUGACCGGUUGGAGGUGCUGCCAGGGCCAGGAGAGAUGACAGGUCAAGGGCAUAGGAGAAAGGCAGAUACCAAGAUGUGGAGAAGGAAGAGGGCAGGGCUGUCAAGGAUUUGGGUCGGGGGAGGUGAUGAGCUACUCUCCAAAAGGCUUGAGACUUCUGGGUGGAGGUGCUGGGUGGGCAGCAGGAGACGGGGAGGAACCCUCUGGUGUCAGGAGUGUGGGCUACGGCUGUGUGUGAUUGUGCCGGGAGCGGGAGUGACUAAGUGUGUGACUAUGGCUGUGGUGUGGGCAUCUCCACAGUGCGUGCCUGUGAAUGGGCCCCGGGGAGGAGAAACUGAGGAAGGGGAGGAAGUACGUGCUGCGGAAGGAGGAGAAGUGCGUGGGAGAGAGUCUACGUGUGCCUGCGGGUGGCCGGUGUAGCUGAGACCGUGACUCACAGCAGUGGCCUCUGAGAGUGACGGCGACUGACAAACAGACUAAGGCCAAGAAAGAGGUUAUAUCAUGAACCCAUGACCUGACUCCAGACAAUGAUUUUGCCAUUCCAACUUCAGAGGAAGCUUUGGAAGGAGUUUAAACCAUAAGCUUACCCUCUCAAUCAUCCACUACCCCAAGGACAGAGGUGGGAAAACUCAAAGGCACAGGCUGUACUGAGAAGUUUGAGCAAUGGAGAAGAAAGUGGAGCUCUGACUGACCUUAGCCCACCACAGUCAGGCUCCAAGAGGGGAGAUGGCCUGGGCUGAUGGCUCCCUUUCCUCUGCUGGCCCUUCCCUUUUGGGAAAACCCCCAUGUCAGAAAAGUCUCAAGUCUGUCAGACUGGGAGUCCCCAACUCCCAACCCAAGGAAGCAGCCCUAGGAAAGGAGAGGAUGAGAUUUCCCAAAGCUAUCUCUUACCACUUCCCUCCCCCAAUCUCAUCCCUCCAUCUAUUGGUGAGAAGCCUCCUAAAGUUGGCCUGAGGCUCCUGAGGGACUGGUUCCACCGGAGUCUUUAACCAGGACCCUAUCCUCCUUGGGACCUGCAAUAGAGAUAAGAAUCAGAGUACAAUCCUCAAAUAAUUCCCACAAAUUUGGAGCUGAUUCUUAACUG